CCAGCAGCCGCGGUAAUUCCAGCUCCAAUAGCGUAUAUUAAAGUUGUUGCAGUUAAAAGGCUCGUAGUCGAAUCUAUGGCUUUGUGCACCUAACCGUUUCUCUAGUAGAAAGUGUGUUGGUUGUGCACAAGUCAUCCUUCUGGACUGUGCGUCUGCCCUUGAUUGGGUGGGGCGUUUUACAUCCAGAUCCUUUACUGUGAGAAAAUCAGAGUGUUCAAAGCAGGUUAGGUAGCCUGAAUGGUACAGCAUGGAAUAAUAAGAUAGGACUUUGGUUCUAUUUUGUUGGCUGUGGGACCAAAGUAAUGAUUGAAAGGGAUAGUUGGGGGUGCUAGUAUUUAACGGUCAGCGGUGAAAUGCAUGGACCCGUUAAAGACUAACGUAUGCGAAA
rnacentral:rRNA from 1 species